UUACAUUCUUGCGUCAAAAAGAAUGGUCGACUAACAUAGUAUAUUUCAUGUCACUCUGCCGUAGACUCUGCAUUUGGUUUAUUUUAUAUGAUGUUAACAGUAUUUAUAAUAUAUGAUUUUCGACUAUACACAUAAUUUGAUACCAUAGUUGGAAAGGAAUGUAUUGAAAAAAUCAGGUUGGUACAAAUGAAACACAAGCAAAAGCUUAGAUAAAAUCACAAAUAAACAAAAAAUACAACCAUUUUUUUAGUUACAAUUUACAUAUUACUAUUUUGUUAUUAUUUAAUAGCUUGCAUGCUUCUUUUUUUAUUGAUUUUUGCAUAUCCAUAGUCGGUAAAACAUAUAGGCUUAACUUUUUCUUUUUACACAAUUCACAAGCGACAAGACUGCAUAGCUAUCAAAACGUGCAGCUGUAAUAGACUUUAUCAAAACUAAUCAUAAAUAUAAACAUUGACCCAAUAAUACUAAGAACUGGGAGGUGGUGCAAAUAGCGCUUCAAUUACAUACUUCGUUAUCAGUACUUCGGUUUUGCUAUACAAAUGAUAUGCCACUCGACUAAUUUGAUUAAUGCCGCUUUGACGAAAAGGUUUUUCUUAUCGGGAAUGGUCUAUGAUCGUAAUCUUGCACUGAACAAACCAACGAUCGAGGACAUACAUAUACUUUACGUUGCUACUGCUUACAUGGGGUACUUCAACAUAGGCUUGAAAAUAUUAAUUCUAUGAUAUGAUUUCAUUAUUAAAUAAAUUGUUAAUAGAAUCUAGCAGACAACAAAAUUCUUCCACGUUUUUCUUUUCAUUAAAAACAGCCAAAUGUAAAGCAACCAAAGUCUUUAGUCCACUCACAUAUUUGCUGGUGUUUGUCUAUCUUGUAGUGUGUACGAUUGCUGCCAGAUGGCGAUAGCCCUAAAGUCAUGUAGAUGCCUCUAGACGACAUGAAAAAUCGGACACCUGUGUUAAUUAACACGAUGGAAGAUUAAAGUAUCAGGUUUUUAUGGAAAAGUUAAAUGAACACAACAAUACUGCCGUCAGAUGGCACGUAUCCUCACACAUGUAUCAAUUAUGUUGUCAGUGUGACUAAUCGAACUGGAAAACACACUGGCACAAUACUUAAACUCUGAUAGCACGCUCAUACACACAGUCAACAAUAUUAACUUAUGCAAAGAACAGUAAACGAAAGUGUAGCUUGAUCUUAGUGAAAGAAAACAAAACACUAUCAUGAAGUUUGUUCAAUGUUUCUUCUUCGCGCUCCUAAUUAUAGUGAUGGCCUUUGGAACAGGCGUGGAAGCAAUCAAUAAGAAGAUGAACCGCUGUGACGAAGCUUGCAUUGAUAAAUGUCAAAUGAAAGGACGACCAUCUGGAAAAUGCUUGAGACGCAACAUUUGCAAGUGCAUCAACGACGUAGACUCAUAAAGAUUCGGUUGUGAUUUCACGACCGGCCACCUGCCUGACAUCGAGUUAUUUCGUGAAUGCUGAUGAUGUUAAGCUGUCAAGGUUGUCCCUUAGUCGGCACGUACGACAUCCACGGGAUGUUAUGGAGUGGAGACAACAGACCCGUUACGUGAAUUUAGGAACGGCACUAAAAUCGAUCAGAAAGACAUCACAAAUGAGAAUAAAAAAAUAUCGUUUGCAAUUGAUUGCAUACUUGCAUACUACAUACAUAGCUGAUGAGUAUACAUAUACCUAAGUGAGAUGAGAAUUAUACUCAUUACGCCUGCGUACUUUACCUAAGGGGCCAUUUCUAGAUAUUUUUAAUUUAUAUGUUAUUUUGUAAGGCAAUUUAAUGUAAUCUACAUACUAUUAUUAUAAAGAGGUAAGCGUU